rnacentral:snoRNA from 1 species
UCCCAAUGGUUUAGUCAGGGUACUCCAGUUCUCUCUUCGGAGGGAUAUCUACUGUGGGAUGCAUCCGUUACAUCGUUGGGAGAUCAAUAUCCACCUCCCAUGCCCUUGGUUUCCGGAUCGAGGGUGGAUGGUCUCCGUCUUGGGGGCCGUCAAGGGAACCGGACGUGUUCCAUUAGAGUUGAAGACAACCACCACAUAACUGGGUGGCUCGUGGUCGUUUUCUUAGUAAUGUCUCAUACAUUC